GAUGAACGCUAGCGGCAGGCUUAACACAUGCAAGUCGAGGGGUAUAGGCUUUCGGGCCUAGAGACCGGCGCACGGGUGCGUAACGCGUAUGCAAUCUGCCUUACACUAAGGGAUAGCCCAGAGAAAUUUGGAUUAAUACCUUAUAGUAUAUUGAUGUGGCAUCACAAUGAUAUUAAAGAUUUAUCGGUGUAAGAUGAGCAUGCGUCCCAUUAGCUCGUUGGUGUGGUAACGGCAUAGCAAGGCAAUGCUGGGUAGGGGUCCUGAGAGGGAGAUCCCCAACACUGGUACUGAGACACGGACCAGACUCCUACGGGAGGCAGCAGUGAGGAAUAGUGGACAAUGGGCGCAAGCAUGAUCCAGCCAUGCCGCGUGCAGGAUGACGGUCCUAUGGAUUGUAAACUGCUUUUGUACGGGAAGAAACACUCCUACGUGUAGGAGCUUGACGGUACCGUAAGAAUAAGGAUCGGCUAACUCCGUGCCAGCCGCCGCCGUAA
rnacentral:rRNA from 1 species